GGAGGACACCAGAAAUGAGUGGAAUGUGAGUUUAAUAGUGAAGCCAGGAAGCACUUCUUUAUGUGAAGAGUUGUAGGAAUCGGGAACAAACCACCGAGACGUGGGCUUGAAGCAGAAACCUGGACCUGAAUGAGCAGCUUGGGCAGCUUGGCUAUUAGCUAAACAAAUGCAAGGUCUCCUCUGGUUUUUGUCAAAUUUCUUACAUUCUUGUGUUUUUCUAUGGAUGUCCUACAUAAGCAUGGAGAGGAGAAAUCACAUUAAGUACAACAGAAUC